UACGGGGGGAGCAAGCGUUGUUCGGAUUUACUGGGCGUAAAGGGCGCGUAGGCGGUUCGUUCAGUCAGACGUGAAAUUCCCGGGCUCAACCUGGGGGCUGCGUUUGAUACGUGCGGGCUUGAGUUCGGAAGAGGGUCGUGGAAUUCCCAGUGUAGAGGUGAAAUUCGUAGAUAUUGGGAAGAACACCGGUGGCGAAGGCGGCGACCUGGUCCGAUACUGACGCUGAGGCGCGAAAGCGUGGGGAGCAAACAGG
rnacentral:rRNA from 1 species